UGUUUUCAUACAGAAUGACUGGAUUAAGACCAUGUACAGAUUAUACUGCUUAUAUAGAGAUUAAUCAAAACACUUUUGAAGUUCCAUUUUCUACAUACAAUGUACAAGAUGUGCUAGUAUCUACUGAAGGGAAUGGAUCAGUUAGUGUACAGUGUGUGUUUGUAUCAGGAUCAACUGCUGAUG